GACUUUAAGCAGCGACGGUUGAAGGGACGGCUACGGCGUUCGAGAAAACUAAAAUCCACUUUGCGCAUGCGCGAUUCUAUCUCGAAAUUUCCUGCCGUUGUAGCCCAACUGUCUACUACGUGAGAGCGACUGGUUUGCCGUACUCUGAAAAACGUCGGAUUUCAAGCAGACAUGUCAUCAUUUGCCAAAACUCAAGAGGAUGCUAGACCACAGUACUGUGAAACUGGACUGGAGCAUAUUCAGUGUCUGGCCAUCCUGCUCUAAUUGAAAAACUCACAAAAUAAAAUAAAUAAUAAUAAAAUAAAUAAUAAUAUAAACAAAUCAUUUUGAGAUGACCGAUGUUUAAUAAUAAAACAAAAU